GACGAACGCUGGCGGCGUGCUUAACACAUGCAAGUCGAUCGGUGAAGCGCCUUCCUUUUUGGUGGGUGUGGAUGAGUGGCGAACGGUUGAGUAACACUUGAGUAACCUGCCCCCUGCUUCUGGAUAACCGCAUGAGAGUUUGUCUAAGACGGGAGAUUCUGGUGCUGGGUCAUGGUUGGUCUGUGAAGGAGAUUGUUUCGGGGGUGGAUGGGCGCGCGGCCUAUGAUUUGGUUGGGGGGGUGAUGGCCUACGAAGGCGGGGAGGGGUAGAAGGCCUGAGAGGGUGGCCGGUCAGACUGGGAGACAGACACGGCUCAGACUCCUACGAGAGGCAGCAGUGGGGAAUAUUGCACAAUGGGGGAAAGCCUGAUGCAGCGACGCCGCGGGAGGGAUGGCGGCCCUCGGGUUGUGAACGUCUUUCGCCAGUGAAGCAGGCCUGCCUCGUUUGUGGGUGGGUUGACGGUAGCUGGAUAAGAAGCGCCGGCUAACUACGUG
rnacentral:rRNA from 1 species